UAGGAGUGAGAACAUUAAAAAGCUAUAAAUUGCCCGUGAAAAGUGGAUCUCAAAGUGGACCAAAAUGAAAAAAUGUGACCUAAAUAUUUUUUGUACUUCUACAUUUGUGCCAGAUUAGAAAGAAAUCGGAGUAUACCUUUUGAGUAAGUUUAUUUAUCAGUUAUUUUGUCACAUUGACUACGUCAAUAUAGUUGCGCGAAUUCGAAAUUUGUGAAUCCUUUUGACCUCGAUAUUCCAUUUAAAACUCAUUUCGAUAUUCUGAAGUCUAUAUCAACCUGUUUCGAUUCUAUUUAAUCUACUUGUUUUGACGAGAAAUCCUCUUUAGAACCUAUAAAUAGUAUUUUAUACGUUUCAUUCACAAGAGGCGCUGAGUAGGAUCUCAGUUUCUGUGUGUGUUACACAUAUUGCUCUUUACACAUACAUUAGAAUACACAGAUGUUAGAAAGGUCGAAAGGUUAAAAGGUCGUAGGACUAAAAUUUCAACUCGAAUAUGACGACUAGAAAUUUCGACCAGAGAUCGUUUGGAUUGGCAUUUACCAUGAAUACACUCUGAUUGGACCAAACAAAUAUGUCGCUGUUAUAACGUCAAUAACUCAGCAAUUGUUCUGUAGUUGGGACAACCACAUAAUUUGUUGUUCCGUAGUUUACUGUCGAGUUUAAUUGGCACCAAUUAGACUUAUGCACGAAUCAACCAAACCGUUUUCCCCGUGUACUCUGACAGAUGCUCGAGCAAUCGUUGUUCGCGUUUUUCGCGUACGAUCGAAGAGCAAGAGAGCCAAACAAAACAAUUGCAGGAUACUCGCUUGUACUUCUGACGACACCGCGCAAAUUACGAGGUGAUUUCCAUAAUUGCCUUUAUGUCGCGUAACGAGUGGUCGUGCUCGUUUGCGCUCGAUAAAUCUUUCAUUACCUUAACAACGCGCGCCACGAUGCGACUUUUGCAAAGCUGCUUUUGCCCAAGGGUACUUGAAUUUUUCUUCUACUUAUUUUUGAAUGCGCCUCACAGUCCCGCGAUACCGUACGCGAUACGUCACGUUUUCUCUCCUCACCAUAGCAACCGUGAAAAUUCCUCUUUCAACUAGGAUUCUAUCGGUCUUCGCUGCGGAGUUACCGCCUCGGGCGCUGCGUCUCUAUUCACCAAACAAAGGAUGUGUAUUGAGAGUGGACGUCAAGUACAGGAAACAGUAACCCUUAUAAAGUUGAAGUAACUUUUGCCGGAUCAAACGGUCGAUCGACGCUAGAUUAUAACUGCCGAUUCUUCCCUAAUCCUUUCGUGCGAAAGGAAAGGAAGGGUUACUGCUCGCGUUACGCGCACACGAAGUCAAAGAUCAAACAGCACCGAGUGUCAAACGCACUUGCUUAUUCAGCGAUUUCAGAAUAUCGAAACUACAGACGAGAUAAUUCCGUUGGCUUGUACAAAAAUUCCAAUUUUCCGCGUAAGAUUUUUCCAGGUUUCUCAUCCGCAUAAUAUUAUCUCCGUAUUGAAACGUUUCACGGUAAGCGGAAAAUAAAUUGGUGCUCGCCGGUGUUUGUUUUCCCAGAGUGCGUUGAUUUUGAAUCUUUCCGUUUUCCGGAAAAUCGUUUUAAAAUUAAGCGCGUCGGAAAUAGACCUUGUGAAAUUAAAUUUGUGCAAUUAAGGCCUCUAUUCCGCGCGUUCGUGCAAAUUGUGCUAAUAAUGUGCGCUUUGAAGAUAUGAAAUUGGAGAGAAUUUUUUGUUGAGUACACACCAUUGAUCGCGCGGACAUAAUCCUACCAAAGCGCGCCUGGCCUGCCACCCGUGUGGCUUUCCCGAUGGAUUUCACUAUGCCGAGUACAUCAGUGGGCAAUCAAGAGGGAUUUAAAAUUCGUGGCUCCACCAAUGUGCUUUAGUUUCACUUGUGUUCCGUCCAUGCCUCUAUAGAAACGAUCAUUCGCUCGUAUUCACGUAAAAUUCUUGAUUUUAGCACACUUAAACUGACCAGCUCGAAUCUUUCCGCGGACUUGCAUAACGAGUCACAUUUUUCCACAAGCCACACGCAACAUACACGGAGAGAGAAUAUUUAAUAUUUUUUUUCGGUUAGAUUAGACUAUCAGAAACGCAGCAAAUCCUUUAAUAGUAAAUUUCAAUUUCCGCCUAAAAAUCAAUAGCUUGUAUAAAACUGAAUAAAACUGAAGAAUAAGAAGUUACUGCAGAAUAUCUCGAUCUACUACAUCGGUUAAAAAAUUCGGCAACAAUUCUUACUAUAAAUUACUUUCUGUGCAAAACAAUCGUCCGAAGAGUUAAAAGUCGUAGAAAUUUGUUCUGCUCGUCAAUUUCUUUCAUAUAUCCGCGUUAAUCCAAAUUAUGCUUUGAAAAGCGGUGCUCAUUAAAAAAGAAAUUCGUUUAUUCGUCAGCCUUUAUUACAUAUCAACCAGAGAUUUGCGUUUCCUCGCGAUCUUAAAAUUUGGUAUUCCGAUUUUAUUUCGAUACUAGAGAUGGAGUCGCGGGUCUCAAAUGUCCUGAUUGUCUCUCGGUGCGACGAAAAUCGUCGCGUAGCUGGCCGGCCAGACGUGACCCGGUAUGUUUACAUCGUAAUUGUGCGACCAACAGUAUAUAUUCAAUAAAAAUUUCCUCCGACUCUGCCCGUGGGAUUUAUACGCGACGUACACCGAGCUUUUGUUAACAUUGAUUUACAUUACCACACAGUGCGAGCGUGCGCGCGUGAGUAUGCAUAUGAAACGUAGAUAUGGCAAGCGCAAGUAUGCGCAAAUACGGCGGGGCAAUGAAUGCGAGCGCAUUCUCGCAAAUUAUACCAUAAACUCCUCUCACGUAGCGUAGAUAUUAUACAAAAGGCGGACCGUAUGGGUUACGGCGUUCCGUGCGAGGCGCCACGGCGCUAGACGAGGGUGUAGCGUACAACAAUUAUUAGUGACGCUUCGCUUGGUUGCCCCCAAACUUCGCCCUCUUCAUACCCCUCUUUCUACACCCUCUCGAUAGGACUAAAGUUACUCGUGUUCUUGGCGCGCGACAUCGCCGGUGACUGGCGUAAUGGCAAAUUAAUCGGCUAAGUCAAGCGCUUUGAUCGAUGUGAAUAGCCUGUCCUUUAUGCGGGCACAUGGUGCGGCUUAUGUAUGCAAUUAUACAGAUUAGAUCGCUGCCAUUGCUCAUUAAGGCAGGAUAACGUGGUGCCGGAAACGCAUAAUACGCUUUACGCACUUCUCCUUAUUGUUCAGAGGGGUAUCAGGUUAGUAUUUCGGAUAAUUACGUGUCGACGCAUAAAUCGUUACACGCGCUCGUGCAUACGCCGAGAGGAAAGGACGACGAGCCCGACGAACGUUCCAGUCUCGCGUGGGAGGCGUAAAAAUGCAUAGCGCAAACAACCCGUCCCCUGGUCGGGCGCUGAGUGAAGCUAUUUGUAAGGCUAUUUGUAUUUACGGAGGGAAUUGGAAAUCGUUUGCUCGAACGAUAAAUACGCAAUAACGAGCGACUGUGCGUUCUAUUCGCUCUUGUUUCCACGUCGAUCCCACAUCGGAUGUUAUGAGAAAGUCUCGUGAACAGUAGUCGUAAUAAAAAUAAAAUAAAAUGAUAGAGAGAGAGAGAGAGAGAGAGAGAGAGAGAGAGAGAGGGAUGCGCGUCUACGAAUUUUCCGUUUAAAUUUCCCUUCGCCCGUGCUUCUAAUUUCGCAGCGGAUUUUUGUCAAUGUCGUUAACAUGCAGUUGUUAAUAACUUCAUCUGAAAUAUAUCGCAAGUCGAUUUUUACUUUGAUCAUACGGAUCCUUUGUAGAUUCGAUGCCACCCGUCCUUGGUCAUUUGCCGUUUUGUUCUACAAAGAGGCGCGCUCUGAUACCUGAUUGUUUUAAAGUUCAUCGACCGCGCUUUUGCUUCGCUUCCAGAUUCCAGUAAAGGCGAGGCAGCAUAAACAGUCGACAUCACGUACACACAAACACCUAUUACAAUUCCAAUUACAAUUUCUAUCUUCUCGGUUCCUUCGUGUUUUGAAAAUAUGAACGACAGGAGGCAGAGCGUCGGGAAUGGUAUUGUUGUUUGAGAAACAUUUUCACUCGUGUGUACCGCGCGAGAGAGCGCAGAACGGAUCGGGCUUUCGCAAUGCCGAUAUUACGCCGUAGGAAAGUUAGGAUAUUUCAGCCAUUGCCUUCUGGCGUAUCGGUGGUACGAACGAUUCACGGGACGUAGAGCGCAUCAAUAUCUGGAAUUCAUACUACUAGAGAACGUUUACCUCUGCUCUGUGAAAUCUGAUUCGAAUUACAUAGCAAGCAUGGGCGUCGGUGUGGUAAAAUGAGAAGCGGGGGUUGACCGGCACCAUUUGAGUGCCGUGGAGAGCGAGCACGGUCCUUCAUUUCGUGGGUGGGAAAAGCGUGGAGAGAACGUUGUCGCGCGCGUUUCUCAUGUAUCGUGAUACCUGUUCGUCACUAUAGAGGCCGACGGGGAAUUUGUUUCAAAGAGCUGAUAAAAUACUUUACGCCAACCUUUAAUUCUAUAUCAGUCUCGAUAAAAUUGCCACGAGAACAAUAAGAUUACGAACGUUGUUUGCUCGCGAAGGACACUCGAGUGAAGCGGCAUUCCUAUGCGCGAGCACAUCGUGAAAAACGUCCGGUUACCGUCCAUCGCGGGAAAUGAUGCGGAAUUAGCGAAAAGCGACUGGUAAACAGCAAUAGCACGCUAUUACCGGAAAGAUUUAAUUUGCCCUGCAAUGCAUCAUAAGCCGUCUGCUGGUGCUGGUUAAUCUGCGAGAGCGCCGAGCACGUACUUCAUUAUCGCUAAUGGCACACUAUUCUUGAGAAUAUAAUUUGCAUCGCUUCAUACGCAACUGAUUCGAUCCCGAUGAUGCGAUGGAAAAUGCGUCGCUGCGCUUUCAUCAUAUAUUCUCCCCCUAAGUAGAAUUUUUAACGAUCGUUUUCGCAAUUUAGUGCAUCAUGCGCGCGCUGUGCAAGCUGUGUCACGCCACGUUUAUGCGCUUCGUGUAUUAGCUUUUGCGCGAAAAUAAUAUAUGUAGUAAAAAUGAUCUGAAAAUAAUAUUUCUCUUUUCCUCCGUAAGGCUGGACCGAAUACUGAGACUGUACCAUAAAUUAUUACAGAGGUAGCACAUAUCUCACGGUCUUUUUGAUAUGCGAUAUAAGAAACGUCCAAAUGAUUACAAGAAUUUCUCAGUAACAAGUCAAACGUGAGACUUUUAAUACAAAUAUAUUGUAUAUAAUUUCAAUCGUAUUCUCUUAAAAUGAAUCAGUGAAACAUCAUUGAAAGCAGUAAAUAUACACUGAUUUGCAGCUAUAAGUACAGCACUGAAACGGCUCAGUGUUAUACUUAUAACUGAUAUUAAUGACUAUUCACGAAUUCACUUUAAGAGAAUAAUGCACAAUUUCAAUAAUAGAUAUAUAAUUCUGCGCGGCAAAAUCGCACGAAAUUUUGUGUUAUAUUUACCGCAACAUUUCCUCCGGGCGCACAGCUUGUACCGAGCUAUCAAAUUUAUCGUGAAAAAUCCCCCGAACCAGGAAGCAACGCUAGGCAUCGCUUUUUUCAUCGAACGUUCAUAUAUAGCGCCAAAUAUCGAACGCGUAUACGAGGCUUACCCCUUAGAGUACCGUAGGCGUACAUAUUUGAUCGACGAGAACCGUCGCUGUCGCCCACGGGCGUAUAAAAUGGAAACGAUCAGACGAGCAUCCAGGCGUACGGAACGCUCCGCACUGCUCCACUAGUAUUCUAAGGGUAAACGGCCCUGAAUAUCCCCGGUGAUGCCUACAUCACUUGCCGAACGGAAUCAACGCCACCCCGCGAGAGCAUCGUGUCUUGUUGCCAAUUGCCGUGUUAGAUUAAUUUUGAAUCACGUAAUUACUACGUUGGCGACGGUUUGCCUCCGACAAAUAACAACAUGUAGUGUUGCACUCUGCGUUAUUAGCGAAACGAACAUUGCCUUGAUUAAUACGUUCGCUCGUUAGUUCCUAUCGUAAUUGGCAGAUACUGCCGUCAAUUAGCAGACUAUCGAAUGGCAAAAGCUGGCAAAAGCGCGACAGGCUAUCUCGAGUGGAAAAACGAAACGGCGCAUUUUCCUCUCUUCUUCGGACGCUUCGCGACUCCCGAGAAUCAAAGCGGCAAAGGAUCAACCGAUGAAACGUCAAUUUCGUUCCUUUGGUUUGCACACAACGUUAGCAAUUACAUCCCGCUUCUUCAGCCUGAAGCGCGGGGUCCGCAGCAUACGCAGAAUAAAGCACAAAGCGAAUUAAUAGGUACAAAGGCACACUAAUGCUGGAUAUUGUCCGAUCUCGCAUGCAUGGAAUGCAUUUCCAACCGGUCGGAAAUUUCGUUGGAAAACGUAACCAUGUCAAAUUAGUCGGGUUACGCGCUUGAAAGCACCGCGACUCACGUUGCUUACGUCUCCGCCGCGCGAGGUGCAUACUAAAUAAGAAAUAUACCGUGCGGAUUUUUUUCACACACUGUGUUCGCGCAGCAUCAGACCGAGCGUGUAAAAAAGCCGCGAAUCAGACAAUCCCUGCAAGUUACUUCGCGUUAUAAGUUAUUUCAUUACAUAUUUACCACGCACCGGCACACGCGGAGAGUGUCGAGCCAACAUAUAUACAUACGCGCGCUCCUCGCUCCCGCACAUCCGUGAAAGAUUACAACCCCAUGUAUACCGGGUCCCGCUCUGGCGCGCUCGCGCGCGUUAAAUCCGCCGCUUUGGUGUUUAAUUCCGUUCAUUGUGGUGUACGUGAAACGACGUUGCGUAUGAAACAUUUAAAUGCACACUUUGGCGAAUUUAUUGCACACGACGGCUCUCCCGUAUCAUCCAACGCGGUGAAAUAAUAAAAAAGGCUAAAAAAUCAAACGCCAGCUCAUGUAGCCCGACUGCCGCACGUAAAAGUGCGCCUCGGCUCGGGUAACCCGAUGGUGAACGCGUCAGUUGAUGCCUUGAUAAAAAAGGCUGGACAUAUUUUGUUUGAUUUUGUUUCGUUCUUUUUACAUGUAUAAAGCACAAAGGGAGAGACGCCGAUAGGGCGACCAGGAAUUUGUGAAUUUUUCGUUCGAGUGUCAUACGCGUUCGGGCUCGCAACACGCAUGUUUCCAACGUAUCGAAGGGGAAAGAGGGAGGGGGAGAGAGAGGGAAAAACGGGGAGAAAGAGAAGGCAGCAAAAGAGAUUGCGAGAAAAAAAUAUGAUAACUUGACAUCACGAUCCGAUAUUUCGCAUUGUGCAGUCGAUGUCGAUCCUCCAGGGCCUAUGAAUCCUAUUAUAAACUUUACGUUUCUCAAUUGAGCAAAAGUUAUAAUUUUUCCGAACUCUUUGAUGUCAACCGCAAUGCACGAGGGAGUUCUCCGUAGAUAUAUGGCAGAAGUCGGAAAGUCCAUGAAAAAAAGAUGAAAUCCUCGUUAACAUUAAUCUCAUUCUUUAUUAACAGAACAAUAAUAAUCUUUUGAUGUUUAAAGAAAUAAAAAUACAAGAUGAAUAAGAUUACAAUAAAAGCAAAAAAAGAAAAAAAAAACUAUAAAAAAACUAUAAAAAACUAAAAAAAUAAAAACUAAAAAACAAACAGGUAAAUAUACUUAGGAGACUCCGAUGACCUUGUCUAUUAUAUAUAUUAUCAAGGACACCCUUAUGAGUAAUAUUCAAGAGGUUUUAACAGUCGUUCAUUGUUUAUUAGAAAGUUAUUAACAAAAGAAUUUUUAUAAAUAGAACGUAAUUUUUCGACACCGUGUACAUAUUUAAAGAGUCAACAUGUGCUAAACACAUGCUAUACACAUGCUAUAUACAAAUAUAUUUACUACAUUUCAAACCUUAUUUCUCUGUUUUGAUUUCUUCGUUUAAAUAUAUAAGAUAUUCUUACUUAGAAUGCUUUGCUCAGUGUUAUUAUUCUUAGUCACUGUCUUGUGGUGUAGCCAGUCAAUUACUUGGAUUUCAACAGAGUUUCGUGGACUUCGAAAAUGUAUUUACACGAAUUUAUUCAUAUGACUUACAAUUUCGAAUCUUUGUGGAAUUCCUUGUAUGAAAAAAAGUCGUUUGCAAUAAAAUAAUGUGUCCUAGGUGUCAGAAUAUAUUAAGAAUAGUUAAGACUUGUGAAAAUCAUGUUUUACACUGUACGAAGAAAUAUUACAAAGUCAGAGGUCAAAAGCGGCAGAGAGUAACGUGCAAAGAAGGCAGCAAAAGAGAUAGCGAGAAAAAAUGAUAACUUGACAUCGCGAUCCGAUAUUUCGCAUUGUGCAGUCGAUAUCGAUCUUCCACGUGUGUGUGUACCCUAUUAUAAACUUUACUUUCUCGAUCGAGCAAAAGUAGUAAUUUUUCCGAACUCUUUGUCGUCAACCGCAAUGCACGAGAGAGUUCUCCGUAGAUAUAUGGCAGAAGUCGGAAAGUCCAUGAAAGAAAGAUAAAAUCCUUGUUCUCAUUCCUUAUUAACAAAAUAAUAAUAACCCCUGAUAUUACAAAAGUUACAAAAAAAAAACAAAAAUAGAAAAAGAUGAACAAGAUUUCAGUAAAAACAAAAAAAGAAAAAAACUAUUAAAAACAAUUGCAUUAUUGCAAUUUUAAAAUUAGUAUUCUAUGGAAUAUGGUUUGAACGAAUGCAUAUGGAUCUGACUAAAAUUUUCUGUUUUAUCAGAUAUUUUCUAAUAAUGCAGCACCACGGCGCGCGCGGACAUAAAAUCUUAAUGAAUGAAUUGCAAAUAAAUGGUCAGUAUCGAUUGGACAAAUUUUUGUCGACAAUUAAUUCAACAAUAGAUUGUAAACGAACAAAAGCCAAUUGGCGGAGAAAGCAAAAUUGUCGAAUUAGAUGAAGCAAAAACAGGCAAAAGAAAAUAUAAUACCGGACACAUAAUUAGAAGUCAAUGAGUAUUCCGUACUGAACGCGAUACGAAGAAAGUUUUUGUUUUGCUUGUGCCAAAUCGAUGUGUUGACAUUCUUUUAUCUAUUGUUAAAAGAUAUGUAGCACCUGUUAUACAUACAAACAAGUGGCAGGCGUAUGAUAUUUUACGCAAUUGUGAAAAUUACACACAUUAUACAAUCAGUUAUACGAUCAAUUUCGUUAAUCCAGAAAGGGGUUGAGUUAGUUUUUUGGGGAGGAGAUGCAGGGGGAGGGAUUAUGCCAUCAAUGCGCAUAUAUGUAUAUUGUUUAUCUAUUUCAACGUACAGUGUAUAUAAAAAUUAUAUUCAAUUGAUAAAAAUUUGAUAUUAAUAACUUUUUAAUAAACAAUUAGCGACGACUAAAACCUUUUAAAUAUUACUCAGGAGGAUGUUCUUGAUAAUAUAUGCAACAGGCAAGGUCAUCGGAGGUGGGUCCCCUAAACAGCACAUUUACCAAAUAAAAAACAAAAAAAACUAUAAAAAAAAACAAAUGAUCAUCAUAUGCUUUGUUUGGCCUCCGGAUGGUGCCGCAUCCUUCAUAGAUUUGUUUACAACGGCAUCACGGCCGAAAGCCACAUCAAGUACCACCACAGCGCGGAAAUCUGAAACAUCGAGUCAUCGAUAUUAUCAACAAUGCUGUCAAUAUGCCGAGGCCAAGUUUUCAUUUCGACGUAUUUCGCAUAAGAGCUGCACAGCGACAUCAAAAAGCGCUUCGACAUCAACACGUUUCACCUGCAACACACGAAGAAGUCCGACAGGUAGGAGAUGUACGACAGGAGUCGAAAAAUCCAUGAAAAAACAAUAGAAUUUUUGUUAACUUCAUUCUCAUUCCUCGGUACAUUUUAUAUAGAGAUGAAUUUCCCGGCUGCGAUUAUUUCAAUUGUGCAAUUACAAUGGCAAGUAGCAAACAUUUCUUUUCCUUAGAUCGACAGUAUGUAAUAAAAAUGAUAUAUACAUCGUGCGAGCGACAAAUUUGCAGAAAAUUAACGAAAUAGCGGAGUCGCGAGACGCAGAAAAAGCAGAAAAUAUGAAGUACAUUUUUGUUGCACGAUAAAUUGCACAAAUUACGCCGAAAUCCGCGCGGAAUUGGGUUAUUGUAUAAAAUAAAAGCAUUGGAUUAAAAUUUUACUGAGCGUUCCUGCCUUGCAAAACCAUUGAAAGAGUAUCAGCGUUCGCUGAUUUGCGCGCGGAGAAUUGCACGGAGAUUUAUGCGCCUGCUUUGCCGAACGGCACGAACGGAUAAAGCCAUUGAAACGCGAUUGCAUUUUUGUUCAGCUUAGCGCGAGAUUCGUCCGCCCAUUUUUGUUUUGCGUUUAUACUGCGUGAUAUCGAUAUUCCGCGCCUCACGCGUUACAUCGCGCAAAUAUGUGCAUCAAGACCGGGCGCAAGUCCGCCCGACUAUAAGCACGCUCGAAACACUUGAGCACGUAUCUCUCUUUACAGAGAUCUCUUUGUACACAUUUGUACGGGAUAACGCGUGUUUGUCGAUGUAAAUCGUUGCAAACCGGCCAUCUUGGAACGAGAACUUGAUUUUCUUCACGUACAUAUUAAUGUAUGGGAUAAUACGUAUUUGCCGAUGUUAAAUCGACUAAAUAGACCAUCUUGGAGUGAAUUCCAUCAACUCCAUGUACACUUUGAUGUACAAAAUAAUACAUGUUUGUCGGUGUUAAAUCGACCAUGAAUAGACCAUCUUGGAGCGCGUUUCAUCACGUAAAGCCUCCACGUAAAGCUGGUUGCAAAUCGGUUUGCACACUUUUCGUCGAAUGAAUUGCAACGCCCCAAGUUGUUAGAAUUGAAACUAAUAUAAUUCUUAAAUGUAAGUGUAAAAAUUACUUCUCAGAAUAAUGGUGUUUUGAUUCAAAAUAAAUUCUGUCUGCCAGAUUUCACAAAUGCCACACUUUGUAGUGUCACCUCGAUUCCUGUCAUAAGCGACCACUGCGCACAUAUCGGCAGUAUUCAAUUCUGACAAUUUCAAAUGUUGCGACUUCAUUCGAUAAAAAUCAAUGCCAAUCGAUUUGCACCAUAUACAUCAAUGUACGAAAUGAUGUAUGUUUGCCGAUGUCAAAUCGAUAAAACAUCGAAUAGGCUAUCUUGGAGUAUUUGUGAUCCUCUCCAUGUUAGUCACCUGCAAUUAUUAUGAAUAUCAGCCACCAGAAUGGCCAUUUUUGCCACAUCGACGUUGCGUGUGUGCGAUCGAUAUUUUUCAAUGAUAAAAACACCGAUCAAUCAGAUUCUGAGAAAGCUGCGUGCUAACACUAACACGGCCCGUUUUUCCACAUCAGUAAUCAUUAUUGUAUACUGGUCAACUUACUAUGUCCUUGAAAUACACCAAGAAGAGCGUCACCAGGUAACCGGAAUGGCGAUGGACGACGCUGUUAUUUAAUAAUUGAACAAUCACGUCCCAGACUGCGUCUUAACACUCCGAUUACCACUUUACUUAUGUUUGGAUGAUGCGUGAGUUCCCGUAGCUUCCUCGUCAUAAAUUUGAAUGCCUUGACAUCGCCUGUUUAGCUUUGAGAUGGUUUUGUUAAAUAUUUAUGAAAAUAUCUCGAGUGAAAACAAUAACAUGUCAUUGAUAUAACAUAUACCCGAUGUAUUAAAAAUGAGAUUACUCAAGAUUACAUUUAUUUUGCGUAAUAUUAUGGAAAGCGGUCUGCGUGAUAUAAUAUAAUCAUUAUGCGUUAAGUUUGUCUUUGAGGCAGAUGCUUCCGUAUGAAAAGGUCGGUUUUAUAGUUCAUGUUGGAGAAAUAUUGAGAUUAAAUGCGAGAUCAGGCAUGGGGUACGUAUGGGAUAAUAGAAUUGGAUAUAAAUAUUCUGUCACUGAUAUGGUUUGUUUUAAGUAAUCUGACUCUGUAUACUGCAUGUACGAUUGCAUCCGGUGGUUCGAGAAUUUAGGCUUGAAGGCGCCUGUGUCCAAAAUCCAACGUGGUAGUCGAAGUGUUAAGAAAGAUCGCACGCGAGAGUAAGUCAUUUAUUAAAUCCAGAUGGACGGUAUGUUGUAUGUGUGUGUGUAUGAAAUCUAAGAAGAAGACCAAUUUACAAUUAAUAUUCACAAGCUCAUCAGCGCUUGCAAAAUUUACACAAGUACAUUUGUCAGGAAUCAACUUCAAUGUAAUGGAAAGAAAAUUAAAUUAAGCAUACCGUCCUGUAUCAUCCACUCUUAAGAUCUAGAGAAACGAUGGUAAAGCAAUGGAUUCGAUAUACUCCCAACACAUACAUCGGGUAGAAGUUAUUUAAGGGUGAUGGUCGUUGGAAAAUGGACUUCGUUGAGAUUUGUCGAUUUGGAUAUUAGAUUUGAAUCCACUACUGGAAAGUGAAGUUAACUGACGAUGACAACGAAAUGAUGAAUACAAACAGCGUGAAAGAGACGAUAACGAUGAAAAAUGUUGGAAGAUUAUGGUAAGCGAUGAAAAGAUCCCAGUGACGAAAAAGAAAGAGAGCCACGAUUUUGCGUUAUAUACAUCAGUUUUGAAAAAGAAAAGAUCGAUUGCAUAUCAUUUCAAAAUUGCACCAUUGAGUUUUAGCAGGGAAAAGAGUAGGCAUAUUUAUUUAAAUUUUAUUCCCUUCAGGUGCUUAUUUCUAUUAAAUGCGACUUUAGUAAAGAAAAUUAUUCAAAUUGUGAAAACGUAAUAAUUAAAAAAGAGGAAAGCCUGAUUCCAGAGCAGCUGAGUUAAUUUUCGAACAUCUCGAAAUUUCGUAUUGAUAUCUUCCACCGUAUGAGUAUAUAAAUAAAUAAUAUAUAAUAAGAGUAAUUUUUGACAAUAUAUAAAACAAUUAAAAUUUGACAUGUGACAUGGUGGACAUAGAUUGGUUCGCAUUGAAAGACAGCUUGGUACUUACGACGCGAUCAAUAUCUUAAUUUUCCGAAAAACUAAAUUACGUGAAUAAAAAAUAAGAAAAAAUUACCGCAGUUAUGUCCGCGAGAGUUCUUUUGAACAAAAUGAAAUACUCUUCGAUUUUAAUGGAGAUAAAUAGAAAAUCGAUCUUUAAAAUUAAACUGCGAUUAAUGAAAUAUCAUAUCAGGGACGUAAUAGACGAUUACGAAUAUGGAGAAUCAAUAUCCCAGACUCUGAUUCAAACAAUAAUUAUUCAUCAUUUCUUUGUUUUCUUCAGAAAUGUAUUGUACUUCUCAGACAUUUUCUCAAGUGACGAGAACUCGUAUGGAGGCUCCUUACUAUUUGAUUACAUAAAAAAUACACAAUCUUUACUGAUCAGUCUUGGUUUAUGAUGGUCUCGGUCUGAAGUUUUAGUUCAAUUCAAUAUUAAUUAGUUAAUUGUUUAGUCAGUCAGUCUCAAAUAUUAAAUCUCUCUGUCUUAAAUCCACCGAUUAUUCAAUUGGAUAGUCUAUCGGUUAAUUGAUCGAUCGGUCAGCCAGUCGAGAUAGCUGAGCUGCAACUGUCUAAACGCCAGCAUUCUUGAUAGUUCAGUCCAAAUCUGCCCUUUGCCUUAAUAUUAUAUCAAGAGUAAAUAUCUCUUUAUCUUUCUCUCUCUAUAUUAUUCUCAGCUUUAAGUGCCACUGCGUGAGUCAUUAAGAUAAAUAAUUAAAUUUUACUAUACGCUUUUCUUUAAAUUGAUUAAAGAUCUUCCGUUUCUUAAAUUAAAUUUUCUUAAAUAGUUCCUUUUUAAUUAAUUAUGUUUUUAAUAACUGAUUAACGAAGAAAUGCAAUUGUGCUAUAUAAAGACGACCUAAUCAAGAACAAAUAUUAAUUCUGCUGUCUUAUCGACGCGAAAUUAUCACAACGUUAUUUCCUUUCAUACAAAGAAAUUACUUAAUUGCGCAUUCUUGGAAACAGUAUUUUCAAACGAAAAUGUUUACGUAGUAGAGUACUUUUUAUGUAAACGAUUUUAUAAACUUGUUUGUAACGAUAAAAAGAAGAAAAACGAGGAGAGAGCGUAUGAUGAAAAUGAGAGCAUCGCACCGAAAGGAUAUAAUAAAUUAAAUUACUGUUUUUUUAGUCAAAUUAACCAGUUAUUAUUUAAUUGAACGAUUUCUUGAAAUUAUGUCAUGGCUACUAUAUUUGGCAAUACUCAAGCUACGUUUUUACUUGAUCAUUUUCUUUUUUAUCUCCUAACAUCUGAUUCCUCAAACUGAGUCCUAUUGGGGUCCUGAUUCUUUGCGUAUUGAUGAUUAGUAUUAUGUAAUAUUGUCUUGCGAACGUCUCAGUAAUUAGCCUCAGUUUCCUUCUUUGUUUUUUAAUUUGCCUAAAUAAUAAUAACAAGACGUCCUCUGUCUUCUAGGGUGACGUUGGAUUCAUAUUCAUUAUAAUAUGAUUGAUAAUGAUCAUUAUAUUAUAUAUUAUAAUCAUUGUUAUUUUAUUACAUUACAUAUACACAUACGUUACAUACAUGCAUACAUGCAUUACAUUAUGCUUCAUGUUCCUCCUCUUUCUCAACCAACAUUAUCUAUAGCAACAUUGUUAAUAUUAUUAUUGCUGUCAUUAAAACGCAUAGCAUAUUAUCAGUGUAACUGUGAUUACAUAUAGUAUAGCAAAAAUGAAAGAUGUAGCAGGAAUAAUAAUAUGUUUUGUCACACAAUAAUAUUAAUAAUACAUACAUGAAUAUAUACAUAUAUACACAUAUGUUUAUAUACAGGGUUUCACAGAAGACUAUAUAUAUAAAAACACAAUCGGUUAAUAGAGCUCGCAGAAACAAAUAAAAAAAUCUUAAUAAUCGUAAGUCCACAAACUAAUCUGUUUCUGACUAUUUAGUUGUUCUUCACUUGUAAGCCAGUAUAUAUACGUGUGUGUGCGUGCGUGCGUGUAUGUGUAUACGUAUGAUUACGUGCACAUGUAUGCGAGCGUGUGCAUGUGUGUGAGAGGGAGAAAUUCCGUGCUUGUAAUGAAAAGUUCAUAGUUGUCGUCAAGAGCGUUCAAAAGUGACGGUGCAAAUCCAUCGAGACAUCAAAAUGUGGUUAAAAUAUUAAUAACAGUGAUAUAGAGUAAAUUUUAUUCAAUCAAACGAUGUGGUAGCGUCGCGGUGACAAGUACAUAAAAAAAAAUUACAGAUUGAUGACACUUUCUAAGCGAUCACAUGCUACAUGACAAAUGUCAAUGGGCUACCAAAAGUUUGUUCGGAGUUCUCACGUUGUUGAGGCUUCCAAUCAAGAUAUUUCGGAAAAUAAAACUGUGACAACAAGGGUAAUAAUAUUUUUCUGUUAUAAUGCUGAUACAAACUUUAAAUAUUACGCUUUGUCCGAUUGAAAAUAGCGCAGUCAAUCUUGAAAUUUUAAGGAAACGCUUUAAAAUAAAUACAUUAUGUAUCCAGUUCUUAAGUCACAUAUGUACGCACCUAUACAGUCAAAGCGACUUUUGCCUCAUAAGGUGUGUCAGUAGCGCAUGCAUAUGCAUAUAUUUUAAUGAGUGCAAUAUAAAUGAACGUAAAUACGGGCUCGGCGUUUUCCUACAUGUUGUUAAGUACACGUUUCGCAGCAGUUGUGCGACUACGGAUGUUAUUGUGACUAGAUUCACAUAGCUUUGUGAACGAAUGAUAGUUCUUGUUAAUUUUUCUUGAUAUUGAUUAGCCAAUAAUAAUUUAUAACGAAUAAAAGUAUUGUAAGAACGAAGCGUUCGUCUCCUGCUGUUGACUAAGGCAAAUAAGUAAAAUGCACAGACCAAUUGGGAUUGGCGUUUCGUGUCCCUCCGAUUCGCAAGGUCUGAGACCCAAAUCAGACGCAGCUAAUCUAUGUUGCUUGUAACCGAAGAACCGUUAAUUAUAUGUUGUGUUACGAUCGUUGUACGAAAGAUGCUUUUGUGCAGAGCAUCGUUUCAUACGCCGUAUAGUCUCGAAGACAUUUGCUCACAAUCAAUUUACAUCGAAGUACCUUCAAAGGAUGUUUUUUUACCUCUAAACGUGCGAACAAGCACAUGUAGAAAAUAUGUGUUUUAUUUCUUGCUGUUCUGUAACAUGUUCAAAGGCCGUUAGAGUCAACGAGGAAACACUUCCGAUGGUUUGUAAGUAUGAGUCUACAGGGCUAUAUCGCAGACUACCGUGAUGAUUCCAUGAUUGAUCAAGCGUAAGUGCAACAUCACUGGGGGAUCUUUUGGGCAAGUUCACUUUCGCCGAAGAGAUAUGGUGCGUAACUUUUGUGUUUCAUGCGAAUUAUACGUAUUUUGCAAACUCUCGGGGAAUGAAUAUCUAUAUGCAUGCGGCCUAUUAAUCCCCGCUCGAAAAAAACUUUAUUCUUGACAAAAUCGUAUUUUUUACACGAUCGCUGCUACCGUUUAUCCGCGAAUUUUCUAUUUUUCAUGUAACAAUAUUACAUAAAGGAAAUUUUUUCAUGCAUAUAUGAGAUGGAAAAUUAUCGCUGUCACACAUACAGCCUGUUCAACACAAGCGUGGCCGACAUUAUUUCUGAGCUGUUUAAUAUCAAAGAAUGGAACUAAUUACACCUGUACUGUCUAAUUAGUAUUUUACAAGACGAUUAAUACAAAAACUUUUAUUAAUAAAUCGUUUAGUCUCCGCAAUUUCGUUUCGAUAAUUGUCUGACAUCUUCGAGGCAUAUUUUCGAUUAAAUUGAUAGCAUUAUUUUGGACAUAAAAACCUCCAUAUUGAAUCUGCAGUGUCUUUUUGUUUUUCCUACAGAGUUUUGCUUCAUUAAUCCUCAGACAUUCUCGAUUAGAUUCGCGUCGAGUAAUUGCGAUAGUCAGUUUACUUGGAUGUCGUUAUUUUCUUUCUACUGAGAGCAAAGACAGCUUCGAUGUUUCGAAUCGUUGCUUGACUUUCUCUUGGAAAACACUUUUCGACAUAUUAAGAUCCUUCUGUAAAUUUCUAUCACUCCUUUGACGUCCGAAUUGCUGAAUAGAAUGCCAAGCUUUGAAACGACGUCCCAGACGUGCAUCUUUAUCGGAUGUUUAACGGCCCACCGGUGAUAUCUGUUGGUGUGUGGGAGUAGACUAAAUUCUCGAAUAGUACUUUAUACUCAAAAAGAAGCUUUAUUGAAGAAAAUAACAUUCUCCCAAUAAUGAUUAAUAUUUUUGUGCGUCCAGGAGUUUUUUUUCUUAACAUGUGGAGAGAGAAGAAAUUUAUUAAUUCGCUUUGUAAUUUCAAAUUGUAAGCUUGUAGACGACUUUGAAUAUUUCCACAUGAUAAUUUUAUAGCUUUCUUCUUCAAUCCCACUUGUUCUUGGCACAGCAUUAAUCCAGGAUUUGUAGAAAACAUCUCCACGAUCUGUUCAUCCUCUUGGAUACAUUCUUUAUUCCGACAAAUCGUCGACGGUUUCUUCUCUUCGUACCGCUUUACCCACUUCGUUAAAAAUGCCUUUGACUUUUUUAUGUAUUUUGCAGUCGUUUCUCAAGACAUUUUCGAUUCUUUCGCAUGAAUGCAAAGGAAGAUAUCGUCGAGUCAUUUGACAUGAAGUAAAUGUUCCAGUCAGUGAAAAUUGUAUCCAUUUAUCUUAAUAAAUUAGUCAAUACGAAUCCAUAUCUAUCCUAGACAUGUGUUUUUAUCUAAAAUUUUAUGUGUUAUCAGUCAUAACAAGUUCCAAGUAAAAUUAAAAAUCAUGGUAAACGCUAAAACAUCAAGGCUAAGUUUGUCAUUUCCUCACAAACGUUAAACAAUAACUGAGACUUUUAUAACUUAUUAAUAACAUAUUGUAGGGAUAAAAUCUUAUAUAAUGUAUGAGAGUUUUUAAUGUUACAUGAUUUUAAACAAACAAAAAUUUUACUGGUCACGCUCUUGUUAAACAGAUUAUACAUGACGUGGGAAUCUCAUAAAAAUUGAUGUAUAUGUAUAUUGUGUGGUAGCGAACGUGUUAACAUAAUAAAAAAUAUAUAAUUUUUAUGUAGUCGACACAAUUGUGUAAUUUGUAUUAUCUUCUGUGUCGAAAAAAAAAACGCCGAUCCCAAUAUUUUAAAAAGACAAUAUUUUACAAGGAGACGUAUAACAAACUGAUACAGAAAAAUUACCGUAUAAUUCUCACAUUACUUUUUUUUUACAAAUAAUGUUCAUAUAUUUUCUGAUAUCACCAAAUCGUUCCACUAAAUUGAACAGAAAAAAUAUCUUCAAACACUGCUGAUACAGUGGUUUUACUAAUGUUACCUGCGGAAAAUUUUACUUUGGCCCAUUAUUCCGUAAAUAAAUAAAUCAAUAAUACAAAAGAAAAAAAAGAGUCAUAAUACAUUUUGCAUAUAAAUAUGAAUUUAUUGAAUACACAUGUGUUUUUUUUAAUAAUAAUUUGUUCGUAUAUUAUACUUAUUUGCUUUACUCAAUGACAUGAGCCGUACGCGUCUUUCCUAUAAUACUAUUAUUUCUUAUAAUUAUUAUUGACUGGUCAACGUCUAUGAAAUAUAACAACAACUAUCAUUCAUUCAUAAUAGCUGUGUGAAUUUAGAUGCAAUGACAUCCGUAGUCACACAACUGUUGCGAAAUAUUACUACCGAUAUGCAGUAAAGUAACAUGUGCGUGUUUAUGUUCAUUUGUAUUGUAUGCAUUAAAGUAUGCAUACGUGAGCGCUGCGGACACACUUGAGGAGUAAUCAUCGCUUCACUGUGUAUGUACGUAUAUAUGUGACUUGAAAAUUGGAAACAUAAUGUUUUUAUUUUUAAGCGAUUCCCGAAACCACGAGAUCGAUCGCACCAAUUUUAAUUGGUUCCAUCGUAAUCCGACGUUUGCGCCGAUAUUAUGGCAGGAAAAUGCAUUACGUUUGUUGUCACAGCUUUAAUUCCCGAAAUACCUUGAUUGAAAGACCCAUCAAUGAGAGAAAUCUGAAUAAGCUAUUGGUGGCGUCUCGAUGUUUUUCUAUGACAUAAUCGCUUAGAAAAUGUCAUCAAACUGUCGUUUUUUUUUUUAUGUACUUGGCGUCGCGACGCUACCAUAUCGUUCGAUUGAAUGUGACUAAUCUUAUCACUAUUAUUAAUAUUUUUAUCAUACUGUGAUAUUCCGUUGGAUUUGCACCGUUGCCUUUAAUCGCCACUGACGAUAAUUACGAACUUUUUAUUACAAAUACGGUUUUUCACUCUCUCACAUACAUGCACAUGCAGACACACACACACACAUAUAUGCAAACAUAUACAUACACACGUGCGCUCGCGCGUACACGUAUAUAUACUAGUAUACAAGUGGAAAACAACUGAAUAUUUAGAAAUAGAUUAGUUUGUAGGCUUGUUGUUAUUAAGACUUUCUCAUUGGUUUGUGUGAGUUCUACUAAUCAAUUCAGUUUAUCUAAAGUUUUCUGAAUAUCCUCUGUAUACACAUAUAUGUGUAUACAUAUACAUAUACAUGUACACAUUAUCAAUAUUAUUAUGACAAUACACACUAUUAUUACCAUCACGACUUUUGCUUUCACUAUACUACAUACGAUUACCAUUAAUUAACAAUAUAUUAUGCGUUUUACUACGAUAAUAAUGAUAUUAACAAUGCUGCUGUAGAUGAUGUUGGUUGAGAAGGAGAGGGAAUAUGUAGCAUAAUGUAAUGUAUGUAUGUAUGUAUGUAAUGUAUGUAUGUAUGUAAUGUAAUAAAAUAGCAGUGAUUAUAAUGUAUAAUAUAAUGAUCAUUAUCAGUUUUAUUAUAAUGGAUAUGAAUUUGACGGCGCCUUAGAAGACAGAUAUCGUCUCCUUAUUAUUGUUUAGUCAAAUGAAAGAACAAAGAGGAAAACUAAUGCUAAUUGUUGGGAUAUGCAUAAGACAAAAUUAUUUAAUAUGAACUAUUAAUACACAAAGAAUCAGCACCCUAAUUGGACUCAGGUUGGGAAAUCAGAUGUCAGGAGAUAACAGAGAAAAUUAUCGAGUGAAAACGUAGUUGGAACAUUGGCAAAUAUAGUAGCUAUGACUUAAUUUUAAGAGAUUGUUUGAUUAAAUAAUAACUGGUUAAUUUGGUUAAAUAAACAAUAAGUUAAUUUAUUAUAUUCUUCUGGUGUGAUACUCUUAUUUUCAUCUCGCGUUUUCUCUUUGUGUCUCAUCUUUCUACUCUUGCGAACAGGUUUAGCAAAAUCAUUUACGUGAGUGGUGCUCUUCUAUGCAAACGUUUUCGUUUGGAGGUACAGUUUCAAAGGAUACUCUAUUAAUUAAUCUCUUAUAUGUAAUAAGAUAGCGUUGUGAUGAUUCCCCGUUCAUAGAACAGUAGGAUUAAUUUUUGUAAUUCGUUGGGCCCUAUUUUUGUAGCAACUUCAUUUCCUUUUGUUAAUUAGUUUUAUUAAUUUAACGAAUUAGAAAACGGAUCGUUUAUAAGGAAACUUCGAUUUAAUUAAUAAAAUAUCUUUACUAAAUUUAAAGAAGGCAAAGGUGAAUUUUAUUCCUUACCUCUGUAAUUUACAUGAUGAUGCUUAAAUCUAAGAAAAACAGAGUAAGAAUGAAAAGUAAUAUUUAACCUUGAUAUGAUAUUGAGGGAAAGGGUAUAUUUGUACUAAACUAACAGAGAGGCUGGCAUUUAGACGCUUGUAUCUCCGCUAUUUCUACCGGUAAAUCGAUCGAUUAAUUAACCGACGUACUAUGCAAUUAACUAAUCCACAGUUUCAGGACGGAGCAAUUUAAGAUUUAAGAUUUUGGCUGACUAAAUGAUUAAUCGAGAUUGAAUUGAAUUAAAAGUUCAGACUGAGACUGUCAUAGGUCAAGAUUGAUUAGUAAAAAUUGUGUAUUUUUUAUAUAACCAAAUAGUGAGGAACUUCCGUGCGAGUUCUCGUCACUUGAAUGAAUGUCUGGAAAGUAGAGUACAUUUCAGAAGUCAACCAAGGAAUGUUGAAUAAGUAUUGUUUGAAACUGAAUCUGGGAUAUUGAUUUUCUCACAUUCGUCGUUGCCUACUACGUUCCGAAUAUAAUGUUUUAUUAAUCGAAGCUUGACUUCAAAUAUGGAUCUUUUAUAUAGCUCUAUUUUAAACCAAUAAGAUAUUUAAUUUUGUCCGCAAGGAGUCACGUGAACGUAACUGCGGUAAUUUUCUUCUAUUUUCUGUUUGUGUAAUUUAGCUUGUUGAAAAUUUGAAAUAUCAAUCUCUGAUUCUAAAUACUAAGCUAGCCUUGAAUGCGAACUGUUCAGUGCUCAUCAAAUCGUACGUCAGAUGUUAAUCUUACUUUAUUAUUAAAAAUUACUGUUACUAUUUAUUGUUUAUUGUCCAUAUACUUAUGGUGGAAAAUAUUGAUGCGACAUUUCGAGACGUCCGAAAAUUUAUUCGGCUGCUCUUGAAUCAGAUUUUUCUCUUUUCUAAUUGCUAUAUUUUUCCAACCUGUAUAAAAUUCUUAAAUUGUCUUUUAAAAAGAUAAGCAACAAAGGGAGCUAAAAUUUAAGUAAGCACGGUUGCUCUACUUCCUGCUAAAACUCGGCGAUACAAUUUGUAAAUGAUAUGCAAUUGACCGUUUUCUCCUCAAAACUGAUUUAUUUAGCGUAAAAUCGAGGCUCUCUUUCUUCUUUGUCUGUAGGACAUUUUUAUCACUUCCAUUACCUUUCAUCAUUUUUCAUUGCUUUCAUAGCUUUCAUACUGUUCGCUUUCAUCAUUUCGUCGUCAUCGUCAGUGUACUUCACUUUUCAGUUAUGGAUUCCAACUUGACGUUCAAGUUCUCGAAUCUCAUUGACUGUCCAUUCACUUACGAUUGUCACCCUUGGUCAGUGGCCUUCUGUCGCGCGUGUUCUUUCUUAACACUUUGACUACAACGUUGGACUUAGGAGACGAGUUCCAUUAGAUCUAAAUUCUCUGAUUGCUGCGUGUAAUCGUACAUAAAGUAUACAGAAUCAGCUUAUUUAAAACAAACUAUAUCAAUGAAAGGAUAAUUGCAUCCAUUUCUACUAUCCCAUGCGUCUCUAAUACUUGAUCUCUCAUUUAAUUUCAAUAUUCCUCCAAUAUGAACUAUAGAAUCGACAUUUUCUCAUAUAAAACAUGCGCCACAAAGACAAACUUAAUGUAUAAUGAUUAUACUAAAUCACGUGGAUCACUUCUCAUAAUAUGACGCAAAAUAAAUAUAAUCUAGGACAAUCUUGUUUUUAAUACAUCUGAUAUAUGUUAAAUUGAUAAAGUUUUUUUGUCUUCAUUUGAUAUAUAUUCUUAUAAGGUAUUUCACAAAGAACACUCUUAACUGAAUAGGCACGAUAAAGGUAUUCAAAUUGAUAGCCGAAAGGGUAUGGAAAUUCAUACAUCAUCCAAAUAUGGGUGAUGAGAACAUCAGAGGGUUAAGACGCAGUGCGGGGCUUGUUUGUUCAAUUAUCAUUUGGCGGCGUUGUCCAUCGCUGAUUCCAGUUACCUGGUGACGUUCUUUUUGAUGUGUCUCAAUGACAUAGUCGGUUGACAAAUAUACAGUAAAUAACCGCUGGUGCGAGGAAGUGAUGCGUAUUAGUGUACUCCGCGGAUUUCUCAGAGUCUAACUGAUCGUCGUUUUUAUCGUUCAAAAAUACUAGUCAUACACACGCAACAUCGAUGUGACCAGGAAUAUCACUCUGAUGCUGAUUUUUUAUCGAAAUUGUAGGAGGUUAAGGUAGAGAGGAUUUAAGUUAAUCCCCUCAAUGGACACCAAGGCACCACGAUUAGAGCUUACUUAGACAUCUUAUCGAUUUCUAUAAAUCUGAAAUAAUACAGUUCAUGCACUUGGGUCCCAUCUUUAAUCUCAAUGUCCCGCGUUAAAUCUUCGAGCCAUUCGCAGGACAUCUUAUAGAAGCAGUUUUUGGUCAUGCCAGAAAUGUUGCUUGAUUUGCACAGGAAAUCGCACUUUAUCUAAUUCCUGUUUCUGUCAAGGUAGAUUACCGAGAUGGUAGCCACCUUGACAACGCUAGACGUGUCGUGAUGUGCAUUCUUCUAGUCUGUGAUUGGGCCUCAGAUGGUCUUCUACACAGAUCGGAUGGUGCCGACACCUCUACUUGGUCGCUACAGAGUAAACUGGCCACACUACUGUAGCGACUAACAUUAAGGAAUACUCGCAGAGUACUCCUUUAUGUUUCAAUUAAAUUUACAGACUGAAGUCUGUAUCAAAUUCCAUGAAAAUCCCACGAAUACUGCAAAUAAAAGACAGUAUAUUCAAGCUUUAUCUAAAUGCUCCUGGAAGUCGUCUGACUUGUAGGAGAUACCGCUUGUGACGUAACAUCGCGUCAUACUCGACACGCUAACUAACCUUGGCUUGGCGAGUUAAUUGACCAUGUUUGAAAGCCAAUCAUAAAUAUACAUGUUGCCUUGAAUGCUGCGUGUGAUCUUAAAUUCCGCCAUUAUGCCAAAUGUUUGUACGCGUGUCAGCCAUUAGUACAAGCCGCAGCUUAUUAAACCACAGAAAUUUCCAUAUAUGCGUUAAGUUCUCCGCUAAAUUUUACCAAACAAAACAGCACAUGUUUAUUUUUAUAUAAGAUCUAUAUGUAAGAAAAUUACAAAAAGAAUAGAAUGAUCAAUUAAUGAUUAAUGUUUAUUUGACAUGUGAUGUUUUAACUCCAUUGACAUUUUUGAAAAGUUUAAUUAAUCUUGGUCACUCCUUAAAUAUGUUGCAUUAAAUCAAUACUUACAAUUUUGUAUCUAUUGUUGUAAGUUCUAAAAUCAAUAUGCGUAUUCCGAAUCAAUUUAAACUUGCGUUUUCUUGCUAACAUUACUAACAUUACUAACAUAACUAAUUUCAAAUUCGCUUUAGGCUAAUUAUGUAUAAUACUUUAUUAAUUAGUGACUAAUUAUGUAUUGUGUAUUUUUAUGUAUUGUGUGUUGUUAAAUAUUUUAAGCGGCGAAAGUAUCUGCUAGGAUUCUUUGUAGGAUUCUCGUUAUUAUAUAGUGUUGCGUCGAAAAAAAAAAAAAUAUAUAUAUAUAUGAAUAUACACAACUUAUUAAUCUUUUGCACUUGUAAGAACAGACUAGUUGGUCAAAUUAUUCUUGACAUAAAUAUUUAUUAAAAAAUAUAAAAUAUUUUUAAAUAUCAAAUAUCUAAAUAUUUCUAAAAUAUAAAAUUAAAUUUGGAGCUAUACAUCGACGCAUUAUAAUAAGCGCUCUUUUACUUUUUAAUCUUUGUCUUAUCGUAACAACGAAAAAAGAAAUGUUGGAUUAAUAUAUUGCAGAGUGUAAAAUGUUAAUUAUAUUAAAAAGAGAGAUUCUCAUUAUUGUUACAACUAUAUAGUUAUAACUAAUUAUUAUUGUUAUUAGAAUAUACGAGCCGCGGUUACUUAUAAACAUGUAAGAAUAUUGGAUCGUUGUAAACAAUAAUUGUUUCCAUACCUAAUAGAAAUCUUUGCGUUGGGAUUUAAUUGAUGCUCGCGUAGGACAUAUGCGUUUGUAAAUUGACGUUCAGAAAGAAUGAAAGUAUACACAUUCCAUUAAGAGUGUGCUGAAGUUUCUUUCUACCACGGGUCCAGGGACCUUCUUCAGAGCGAUAAGAGAGUCACUGGGACUCUGAGUGAAGCUCUGUGGAGUCACGAGAGAACUUCUGCUGCUGAAGCUAAUUCAGCAACCCCUUAAGUGCUUGAGACGUGCUAUGGACGACUUUAACUCGUAAAUAAAAGAAUGUCUGAGAAAGAGAAAGAGAGAGAGAGAGAGAGAGAGAGAGAGAGAAAGAGAGAGAGAGAGAGAGGGAUUUAAUUCCAACGCAAAGAGUUAAAUAUGUUACAUUAACCCUUUGUAGCACAGGACCUUCAAAAUUCGGAUUCUAAUAAAAUAUUAAUGUCACACAUAUCUAAAAUGACAACCCAAGAGAUCAUUCCUUUUAAAAUUAAUUUUUUUUUCUAUUUUUAUAGAAUAAACGCACAAACUGAAGUGAAUACUACAAGUAAUAUAUAAAACUAGAGUACAUCACUAUGUACAGGCUGAGCGGUGAUUUCGUUGCGAAAUUACUAUGCCUGAAGUUAUGAUUUGAUUCUCUAAUAAGUGAUCUCACUUAAAUCACUGUGCUCCAAAGGAUUAAAUCGAUAUUUACAGCUCUGUACUUGUCAAAAAGUUGUAAAAUCAGUUUGCGUAGUCUGAGUCAAUUAAAAAACUUGCGUUUACUUCGUGCUAACGAAUGUAACUGAUCUCAAGUAUGUCUUAAACUAAUUAUCUUUACGUGUACAGGAGGUGUACAAAAUAAUGGCAACACUAGAUCAUACAUAAAUUAAAAUUCUCUAUACUUGCCAUGCUACAUAUCGCUCGUUAUUUGGAAAAACUUGUUUCCACGAGGACGAUCCGAUGUGAGCUGCACAUCCACGAUGAAGCUAGGAAACAUCUAAUUGCUGACAGCAAUGCUAAGAGACGGAAGCAACGAUGUCAGGAGCAUACAACCUGGACUUUAAAUGUGUAAAAACACUGUUGCAAAACAUGUGCGACACUAUUGGAUAAAUCAUCCCUUAUGCUGACGUUUACAUCCAGCCGUAUUUGUAUGCAGACAACAUUCCAGAAAACAAUGCGACUCUGAUUACCCAUGUUUUCAAUCGUGGGACCACAUGGAGGCGGCGGUUUUAUAUGGAUGGUAUUUCGCUGACUUUUUCACACCGAAAAGUCAUUUCACCGCCAAUGUGGGCAUGCAACAUUUUUGACUACCAGAUGAAUCCUGCAGUUCCAGCGUUGCUUCUCAAUAACGAUGCCGUUUGUCGUGAUGACAACGCCCUCAUACACACAUACACUAGAAGUGUAGUGUGUAGUCUUGAUCUGCGUGAAGCAGAUGAACUUGGACAUCUUCCCUGGCUACUACAGUCGCCGGAUUUCAAGAUUAUCGAGCAGACAUGUUCGAUAUUUGCGACGUAGAGCGAGAAGUAAAUGCCUACCUCUUUUGUCUUCCCUUCAACUCGAGAAUGUUCAUCAGGAAGAGUGGUACGAAAUUCCAUUGCUAAUCAUUCUAUAAGUUAAUUCUACGAAUGUCACGAACGAACCGUUAUUUGCUAGCAUCAGUGUGUUGCCAUUAUUUUUUGUACACCGCGUGUAUGCGUUUUUUCAUCAACGAUAUGCUAGUUAUAACGCAAAUCAGUUAUUAUCGUGUGUUAUGCGCGAAUUGUUACAUACAUAUUCUAUAAACAAUUACCAUCUUGUUACACAUGUUAUGAUGUUUGAAAUUUUACUCGCAGUUACGAUUUAAUCGUACCAUGGAAUCGUAUUAUGGAAAUCGUAUUAUUGUAACCGGACCGAUGAGAGUCACGCUUCUCAUCUAGAUUGUAUAACAUUACUUCAAAGUUGCGCUACCGAGCGAGCAAGCGAGAGAGAGAGAGAGAGAGAGAGAGAGAGAGAGAGAGAGAGAUUUAAAUGAACGUUGCGAUAUGCCGAGGACGAUUCUUCAAUCCUCGCAUAGACGUCAUCAAGAGGAUAGGACAUCCACCUGCCUGGCCUGGGAAAAUCGUUGAUAACAAUCUGCGUAUCUCAAGGAGCGAGACGCUCGACGUACUUCCUGAUUAUUAUUAGCUUGCUACCUGGAUCAAUGCAGGAAUUCAUCGUGGAUCUCAUCAUGGGGGACAGUGACGUGCCGUCGUUCUCAUUGCGCGUCUGAAGAAGUUUUUCAUGUACAUGUUCCGUGGAGCUGUGAUCACAUAUUUUUUAUACACUUUUACACAUUUAGCCGAGACUUAUAUACGGAACAGCACUCGCAUUCACCGUUGCCUUAAUCGCGCGUCUAGAUAAAAUCUUCUAUAUACAUGCGCGCGUUAAAUGUUCCGCAGAGCUAAUUAUAUAUUUUUAUAUCUAUUCUUACACAUUCAGCCGAUGAUUGUACCAAAAUAUUGAAAAGGUUCGUAACUGCGACUAACAAAAUAA